UUGUGGAGGAGGACGCCGAAGGUGGGGCUAAUGACUGGGGUGAAGUCGUAACAAGGUAGCCGUACCGGAAGGUGCGGCUGGAUCACCUCCUAACAGGGAGACAACAAAAUGUUUAAUUUUAUUAUUUUGUCACCUUAGGUCGAUCGGUAUCUCACAUUCUUGAUUUAUCAAGAAUUUCAUUUCCUAAGUUUUUCUAGGUCACACCCAUUAUUUUUCCUGGGCCAUUAGCUCAGGUGGUUAGAGCGCACCCCUGAUAAGGGUGAGGUCCCUGGUUCAAGUCCAGGAUGGCCCAUAUCUCUAUGUUGGGGGUAUAGCUCAGUUGGUAGAGCGCCUGCUUUGCAAGCAGGAUGUCAGCGGUUCGAGUCCGCUUACCUCCACUGGUCACCACCUCUUCCAUAUCCCAAGGAAAUCUUUUGAGUUGUGAUCAAAUUCUGAACGAAUCUAGCUUCCUAAUAUAAAUUAUUAAGAUGCUGGACUCAUUGAAUUAAUUUCAUUGUUUUCAGAGAACCUUGACAACUGCAUAGAUUAUUUUUAAAGACAAUAAGCAUCUUUAAUGAUGCAGAUUUAUUAUUUGUGCAUAUGCAUUAAUAACAAUUCUAUUAAGCUGAUGCUUCAAUUUUGAAGUUAUUGGUCAAGCUACAA
rnacentral:misc_RNA from 1 species